AAGAGGCCAAGCAGGGAGUUGCCAAGAGCAACUGCAUGCAGCUCCUAGGGAACAACUGGGGAUCACUCAAAAAGGCUCUUCAAGAAAAGUGCACAGAAGUGUUAUUGGGCAUGAAGGAUCAUCACAGUCCUUCCUCAGAAGUACUUGGUAUGCAGUCAGUUAACAAAAACCUCUUUGGAUUCUACACAGGUGGACCCCUGAGAGGCUAUCCGUCACCCUCCACCCAGCUCGUUUGAAGAUGAGAGGAAGCGAGUGCGAGCGGAGGGAAGGCCGAGAGGAGGAGAGUAGAGGAACAAGUACCUGGAUCCUAACCCAGCUGACAUCAGCGAGAGGUGUGACACCCUGGACUGGUCUCCAGUCGAUCACAGCAAUCCCCCCCCCCUCUCCCUCUCUCCCUCUUAUCAAGAUGGUCAUCAAUCAUCUAAAUUGUACACUGACAGGCUCUCUCAAUUAUCCCAUGAUAGUCUUCAACUCCGGCAGUCUUCACAUCGAGGAGAGAAUGCACAGCGACUCCCAAAGAGAGAGCAUAUCAAAGAAGAUACU